AUCGCAUCUCGAACCGACCUGAACGCGUAGCUCAGUUGGCAGAGCAUUGGGCUAGUAUUCCAAAGGUCGUAGGUUCGAUUCGCACCGUGGCCAGCCAUAUUUUUCGGGCCUGCCCGGUGUGGAUACGCACUCAGAGUAACAGCACAAGCAUCUUAUUCACCUGAGUACACUGCACCAACACAACAAAUAUAAAAAAAAAACUAAAAAAAAGUUUGCAACAAAGUGAACAAACUUG